AAUGAAUGAAUGAAUGAAUGAAAAACUAAGUGAAUGAACAAACAAAUACAUGAAUGAACAAAUGAAAGCAUGAAUGAACAAAUGAAUAAACUGACAAAUGAGAGUAAGUCAUACACAUUGUAAAAUGAAUAAGUAUCUGUAUUUUUAAGGACAUUGUUUUGCUUGCAUGCCUACUGUAAAUGUUCAUAAUUUAGUAAUGGUUCGGGGAUUCUGUAAAGAACAAUUUUUUUCCACUUAAACAACCCCUUUUAGCCCUCUAUAUUAAUUGUAUGUUUGUAAUGAAUUAUUACAAUGGCUCAGGGAUGGCAAUCAGCACCUUCUGUAAAUCAUAAUUUUCUCCUUAAAAACCCACUUUAUCUCUCUAUGUUAAUUUUGUGUGCAUGCAGGUCCUUUUAUUUGUUGAUAAGUGUUUUUCUUCUGAGAAUUUAUCUUGUAGUUUUAUCUAAAUUUUCUCCUAACAGGUUCCAAAUUUGCUAGGCAUACCAAGCUGCCUAUUGAGGUUGUUUUUGCUUUGCAAGUACCAAGGUUCCACUAACCAAUACCAAACCUAUCAGGCAUAACAUCAUCCAUCAUCCGUUUGAUGCUUCUAUAUGUGUAUCCAAAAAUCCAGGUGUUAGUAGAUUCCAAAGAAAAGGGCGUAUAGGUUACUGGAUCGCCAAGAAAUGAUGAAACAAGACAUAGAUGAUAAUUCUUAAGCUCACUCCACACUACCAAAUUUUAUGUUGUAUGCCCAUAUAUAGUAGUGAUGUGCCUAUAUAUGGUCAUGAUGUGAUCAUCGUGACCAUAAUUAGGAAUGUAUACUUGAUUGCCUAUGUAUGGAAGAGUUUAAUGAUCUAAUGGUGCAUUUAUAAAUCUGGAACAAGGUGUUUAUGUGAUAAACGCCUGAAUUUCUUUAAUGUCUUGAAGACUGUAUAAAUUUUUUUUUAAAGUUAUGUGUACUACAAGUUCGUUUGACAUGGGUUUAUGUUUACGUACUUUUACUUUGUGGUUUCUAUCAAAGAGUUGUGAUUGGAGACCAAGGCUGUCACAACUUGUGUCCUUAGCAGGGGUCCCAAGUGUGAGUAAGUGACUUCUGCUGGAAGAUCUUGUUGAAUGAGCAUUCUUAACACAUCUGAGUUUAUUUUGCUGCUCAUGGUGAUACCCAUCAGCACUGAUCGGGGGCGGAUUUAGGAGGGUGGGGAAGGCCCGGGCCCGGCCCCGGCCCCCCCCCCCCCCUUUUGGGGGG